UGAAGUCCAUGGGCAACUGUAAUCACUC
rnacentral:sRNA from 1 species